GUCUAGUUAGCGUGGAGGGUAGCGCGUCUGCCUUGUUAAGCGCUAGGUCGCGGGUUCGAUUCCCGCUCGGGACG
rnacentral:tRNA from 1 species